UACAGAGGUCCCGAGCGUUGUUCGGAUUUAUUGGGCGUAAAGGGUGCGUAGGCGGCGGAGUAAGUUGGGUGUGAAAUCCCGGGGCUCAACCUCGGAAUUGCAUUCAAUACUGCUUCGCUAGAGUACUGGAGAGGAGGCUGGAAUUUACGGUGUAGCAGUGAAAUGCGUAGAUAUCGUAAGGAAGGCCGGUGGCGAAAGCGAGCCUCUGGACAGUUACUGACGCUGAUGCACGAAGGCCAAGGGGAGCAAACGGG
rnacentral:rRNA from 1 species